UCUAGGGGUAUGAUUCCCGCUUUGGGUGCGAGAGGUCCCUGGUUCAAAUCCCAGACGAGCCCUUUUUCCUUCUCUUUUUUCCCCUUUCGCAUUUUCAGCAAGGACGGGAGACUAGGAAGGCGAAGGGAGGCUGCUGUUGGCAGAGCCUCAGUGGGAACCUCCCGGGGUCCCGGGACGCAGACGGACGGGCCUGAAUCGCUCGCCUUGCAGUCGGUCCGUCACCCUGAAAUGGGAUCCAGCGCUGCCAACUGCGGGUUCGAGAGUAUGGCGGCUCCAGUCCCAGGUGAGCCCUACCAAGGUUUAAAAUUGCAUGGUAUUGCGGGGAGUAAUAUGUGUGGCGGGGGGCCAGUGGGAGGGGAGUGAGGGAGAGACGGAGGGGCGAAGGCCCGGGCAUCCUCCGGCAGCACUUUAGUGUGUCCUGGCGGGGUGGGGGUCUCGGCUCCCGUCUCCACGCCCAGACCCCGAGGCCUUCCCACUGAGAGCCAGGAAAUUCGAGGCUUGGAUCUGGAGGGGAGGAGGAGAUCCUUUCAGUCCAGAUCUGCCGGAUUCUCGGGCUCCGGGUGAAAUUUGGACACAGAGAAGGACAGAGUGACAGCAAAAGGUGCCCCGGAACCGACGCCUGGACGCGGCCUCUGCUGCCCCAAGGAGCCUCUGCUUCCCCACGUCCUGGUGACUGGAGGUUCCGCCAGUUCCCCAGUGAAGGGGAAGGAGGUACAUCGCUGACUCCGGCGGGCGCCGCGGGCCUAAUGGAGCGAAGCGACGCUCAGUGUCAGCCUCUUGAAUUGAGGUUCCGUGUGGGAAGCUCGCCUUCUGGGUUUUGGCUUCCCUGGGGAAGAAGGGAGGACCCGAGCGGGAGAAGCGUGGGACGCGGCGAGGUAGCGGGCCUGGUGGCUGGUUCCUGGUGCAGUCUCCAGGCCUUUACUGACCACCCAUCGGCACCACGCCGCGGGGCUGCAGCGUUUCCAAGGCGGGCGUCCAGUGGUCGCUGUUCCCGGACCCUCAGCGCAGCAGCUGCCCGCUCUUGAGACGUUCCCAUGUCCUGCCGGAGCUGGAGCUCCUCACUACGCGGCGUGACGGGCGGAUCCCCAGCCCAGGGCUGAGUGGCGGAGGCGGGCGAGGGCCCGGGGGGUCCCGGAUUGUGGGGGCACAGUGGAUGUUCCCCAUUUUGUGCGGCGCAGGGAGAAGCGGGGGCUCAGGGCUCCCUCCGCGCCCACCCGCGCUUGAACUUGUCUCUUCCAGACUUCAGGAAACCGGAGUCUCCUCCUAGCUCUGCUCUGCUGGGUCCCCACCUCUCGCCACGAGGACGCCACGAAGGCCACAGAGAGAAGCCGGAGUCAGCAGAGUAUGUGGCUCGUUGGUCUAGGGGUAUGAUUCUCGCUUAGGGUGCGAGAGGUCCCGGGUUCAAAUCCCGGACGAGCCCAAGUUUUGGUCCAAAACAUCGGUUUCUACCCUUUCCUACUUUAGAUGAAGAUCAGAGAUCCAAACAACUCUGACAGGUCAGAGCAGUCCGAGUCCUUCGAUGUUAGUUUGUUUGUUUGCUUGUUUUGAGAGGGUGUCUCUGUGGACCCAGCUGAAGCACAGUGAUGUGAUCUCACCUCACUGCAACCUCCUCCUCCUGGGUUCAAGCAAUUCUCCUGCCUCAGUCUCCCAGGUAGCUGGGACUACAGGCACGUGCCACCAUGCCUGGCUAAUGUGUGUGUGUGUGUGUGUGUGUGUGUGUGUGUGUGUGUGUUUUGUUUUGUUUUGUUUUGUUUUUAAGUAGAGACAGGGUUUCUCCGUGUUGGCCAGGCUGGUCUCCAACUCCUUACCUCAGGUGAUCAGCCCGCCUGGGCCUCCCAAAGUGCUAGGAUUACAGGCGUGACUCACCGCGCCCAGACUUCGAAGAUAAUUUGUACAAAGAUCCAAAGCUGUCUGACAGCACCCAGUGCCACAUUUAAAAUUUAUUUGGAGUUUUGUCGCCAGUGUCGCCAGAGCCCUAUCCCCUGAUAAGCUUAUUUUGUUUUCUGCUUUUUUAUUUUUAUUUUUUGUGACACUACUUUUGUCAGUAGGAACUCACUCGAGGCACUGAAGAAGAGGUAAGCCGUCCCUAUAUACAGUAAGAGCCGAGUCUUCACAGUCAGAUACCUUAAAAGGUCUACCCUGGGAUUCCCACCCAGUGUCCCUGCCUCCGGCGGCUAGAGCCUUAACGGGAGAAAGCCGGGCACUUGAGCAGAGGAGAAGGGCUAUGGGCGUUUGCAUCUGGGGUCCAGAGUCCUCUCCCUCCCCACAUCCCGACACUCCUCACCUGCGUGUAGCCUUCUGGGGCUCCUCUGCUCCCCCAUCCUAGUUCUGGAAGGAGUGCAGACCGAACCCAGGAGCCCGGGUAUCCGCGUCCUGAGUCCUAGCGCCCACCAGGACUGGAGCCUCCUCGCAUCUACUCUGAGGACAAAAUCCACUGGCAGAAUCUUCGUUUUUGUUUGGGAUGCUGGGUUUGAGAACACGCCAUGAACCAAGAGUCGUAAAUAAUCCAAUUUUGAGCACUUGAGAACCAAGUGGAAAGAAACUCAAGCCGAUUCAAAGUGACCAAUAUCUGGUUAUGCCCUUGAGCCCCUGCAGAAGCAAAGAAUAAUUUGUGUGUGCGUGUGGACAAAUACAUUUGUAUUCCAGAUCUCACAGAAAUUCCUACACCAAGAAAUUUACAAGGAAAAUGAACACUGCGCCCUAAAAAUUAACAAGGAAACAAGGUACCAGGAGCAACAACUCAUUAACAGGAACAGAAACUAAAUUGCAAACAUUUCAGAUGCAAAGUGUAUCAGACUCAUAAUACAACUAUUCCUACAGUGUCUAAAAAUAUGAAAGGCAAUAAAGAAAAUAUCUUUGACAA